AAUAUUUCACAAUGGAGGAAACUCUGAUGCAGCGACGCCGCGUGAACGAUGAAGGCCUUCGGGUCGUAAAGUUCUGUCCUAGGGGACGAUAAUGACGGUACCCUAGGAGGAAGCCCCGGCUAACUACGUGCCAGCAGCCGCGGUAAUACGUAGGGGGCAAGCGUUGUCCGGAUUUAUUGGGAGUAAAGGGUGCGCAGGCGGCCUUUUAAGUCAGGUAUGAAAGAUCACGGCACAACAGUGGUAAGCACUUGAAACUGGAAGGCUUGAGUUAAGGAGAGGAAAGUGGAAUUCCUAGUGUAACGGUGAAAUGCGUAGAUAUUAGGAGGAAUCCCAGUGGCGAAGGCGACUUUCUGGACUUAUACUGACGCUGGGGCACGAAAGCGUGGGGAGCGAACA
rnacentral:rRNA from 1 species